rnacentral:rRNA from 1 species
CUAGCGACUUCAGAGUUUGAUCCUGGCUCAGGAUGAACGCUGGCGGCGUGCUUAACACAUGCAAGUCGAACGGAAAGGCCACAGCUUGCUGUGGUACUCGAGUGGCGAACGGGUGAGUAACACGUGGGUGAUCUGCCCUGUACUUCGGGAUAAGCUUGGGAAACUGGGUCUAAUACCGGAUAGGAAUCACAUGUGGGUGUGUGGUUGGAAAGCUUUUGCGGUAUGGGAUGAGCUCGCGGCCUAUCAGCUUGCUGGUGGGGUAAUGGCCUACCAAGGCGUCGACGGGUAGCCGGCCUGAGAGGGUGUACGGCCACAUUGGGACUGAGAUACGGCCCAG